rnacentral:rRNA from 1 species
UGGGGGAUAUUGCACAAUGGGCGAAAGCCUGAUGCAGCGACGCCGCGUGAGGGAAGACGGUUUUCGGAUUGUAAACCUCUGUCUUCGGGGACGAAACAAGACGGUACCCGAGGAGGAAGCCACGGCUAACUACGUGCCAGCAGCCGCGGUAAUACGUAGGUGGCAAGCGUUGUCCGGAAUUACUGGGUGUAAAGGGAGUGUAGGCGGGGCUUCAAGUCCGUUGUGAAACCGAUCGGCUCAACUGAUCGUUGCGGCGGAAACUGGAGUUCUUGAGUGAGGUAGAGGCAGGCGGAAUUCCCAGUGUAGCGGUGAAAUGCGUAGAUAUUGGGAGGAACACCAGUGGCGAAGGCGGCCUGCUGGGCCUUAACUGACGCUGAGGCUCGAAAGUGUGGGGAGCAAA